AGAACACAAAUCAAAUCUUGAAGAAGAGAGAGCAUAAAAAGAACCAGGGAAAGAUUUUUGCUUUGGGGCUUCUCUUUUCUUCUAAGUACUGUAUAACAAAACUGUAUAGGUUAAAACAACCAAGUAUUACCAAUUUUGUCUAAAUUGGCAAGUUCACCUGUUUUCGUUGGGUAUGACUGGUUCAAUUAUCAGUUAAAAAUGUAGAAGUAAACCAGACUAGACUGAGGACCAUUUCCUAGUUUAACUAGAUGGACUGGCCAGUCAGGUCCAGUUUUAAAAACAUAGUGCAAUGUGCAAUGGCAUUGAUUGGCUACAUUUUGUAUAAUGAAUGGGAAUGGAAUUUUU
rnacentral:misc_RNA from 1 species